GACGUAGGGGGCGAGCGUUGUCCGGAUUCACUGGGCGUAAAGCGCGUGUAGGCGGUUCGGCAAGUCCCGUGUGAAAGCCUCCGGCUCAACCGGAGAACGCCGCGGGAUACUGCCGGGCUUGAGGGCGGUAGAGGGUGAUGGAAUUCCCGGUGUAGCGGUGAAAUGCGUAGAUAUCGGGAGGAACGCCAGUGGCGAAGGCGGUCACCUGGGCCGUCCCUGACGCUGAGACGCGAAAGCUAGGGGAGCGAACGGG
rnacentral:rRNA from 1 species